AUUGAACGCUGGCGGCAUGCCUUACACAUGCAAGUCGAACGUGAAAGCGGGGCAACCCGCAAGUAGAGUGGCGGACGGGUGAGUAAUACAUCGGAACGUGUCCAGUAAUGGGGGAUAACCUAGCGAAAGUUAGGCUAAUACCGCAUACGAUCUGCGGAUGAAAGCGGGGGAUGCGGCACUAAAGGCUUUUGGCGAAGGUGGCCAAAGGUGAGUCAAGAGCUUUUAGUGCUGCACCUCGCGUUAUUGGAGCGGCUGAUGUCUGAUUAGCUAGCUGGUGAGGUAAAGGCUUACCAAGGGCGACGACGGGUAGCUGGGUCUGAGAGGAUGAUCAGCCACACUGGGACUGAGACACGGCCCAGACUCCUACGGGAGGCAGCAGUGGGGAAUAUUGGACAAGUGGGCGAAAGCCUGAUCCAGCAAUGCCGCGUGUGU
rnacentral:rRNA from 1 species